GACGAACGCUGGCGGCGUGCCUAAUACAUGCAAGUCGAACGCUUCUUUUUCACCGAGUGCUUGCACUCACCGGAAAAGAAGAGUGGCGGACGGGUGAGUAACACGUGGGUAACCUGCCCAUUAGAGGGGGAUAACACUUGGAAACAGGUGCUAAUACCGCAUAAUUCUUUUAACCGCAUGGUUGAAUGAUGAAAGACGCUUUCGGGUGUCACUAAUGGAUGGACCCGCGGUGCAUUAGUUAGUUGGUAGGGUAAUGGCCUACCAAGACCGUGAUGCAUAGCCGACCUGAGAGGGUGAUCGGCCACACUGGGACUGAGACACGGCCCAGACUCCUACGGGAGGCAGCAGUAGGGAAUCUUCGGCAAUGGACGAAAGUCUGACCGAGCAACGCCGCGUGAGUGAAGAAGGUUUUCGGAUCGUAAAACUCUGUUGUUAGAGAAGAACAAGGAUGAGAGUAACUGUUCAUCCCUUGACGGUAUCUAACCAGAAAGCCACGGCUAACUACGUGCCAGC
rnacentral:rRNA from 1 species